AUUAGGAACACCUGCUCUUUCCAUGAAAUAGACUGACAAGGUGAAUCCAGGUGAAAGCUAUGAUCCCUUAUUGAUGUAACCUGUUAAAUCCACUUCAAUCAGUGUAGAUGAAGGGGAGACAGGUUAAAGAAGGAUUUUUAAGCCUUGACACAAUUGAGACAUGGAUUGUGUAUGUGUGCCAUUCAGAGGGUAAAUGCGCAAGACAAAAGAUUUACACCUUGAUGAUGUCUUGCAAUGCCUCACUGACCAAGUGGAUGUAACACAGACAUUUUCUAUCUGUGUUUCACGGUCCAGCCUUUUUCAAAGAGGUUUGCAGCAAUGACAGAGACAAAAAAACCCUCUCCAGAAUGCAGUCUGCAUGUGUCUUUUUUGGGGAAGCAGGAAUUGACACAGGAGCCUUGCAAAAGGAGUUCCUUACUUAAAUGAUUUCUGGAAUUGGGAAAUGCUUCUUUGAAUAAGGGCUUGACAAGAAAGGGAAGAACCUUAUUUACUUACUGAGUGACUUGGACCACAGCUACUUCAGUUAGCUUGGCUCAAAGUGGUCCAGCACCCACCUUUAUGCGUGAAUGGUGCUUUACUUACUUUGCAACUGGAGACCUUGACAAGCUGGCACUUUCCUCAGACGAUGUCACAGAUCAGGAAUCUUUCUCAGCUCAUUUCAAAGGUUUCAAAUGCAACAGAUGACAGCAUAUCCCUUCUAGUUGGAGACAUUUUGAGCUGUGGAUAUACAGGUGUCAUAUUCACUGAAAAAAAAGACAAAAUUAUAAGCCAGACGCAGACUUCAUAAUGACGAACAGUGUUCCCCAUUUAAGUGAAAAGGGGACCAUAAGGCACAGCCUAGAAAUUGAUGUUCUGAACUACUUCCAAGACUUUCUCCAGGAGGCAGAGGACACAGAUGGAAGUGGAGAACCAAAAGAUGGAGCUGGAUCAGACACCACAGAAAUGGAGAGCAACAACUCAGAAGUAAUCUCGGUUCCUGGUAUCCUGCAGUGGCUAACAGGCCAGGCACACAAGCCCAUCCUACCAAAUGAGAAAAAUGACUUUUCCAUCCAUAUCAAGUUUAACCAUGACUGCCAGGAAGAGAAUGUUUCCCACAAAUACCAUCACUUUGCCUACUGUGCACAUGAAAUCCUACAAUGAGUACACUUUCUCUAGAGUAUAAUGUUUCUGCUGUGCUGCAAAAUAAUUGACUAAAUAGCCGGUUGUUUAAAGAGUAACUAAAUACCUUUUUGUUGCUACAAUUGUUACAUGUUCUCACGUGUUGCUACAACAGUUAAAAUAAGGUGUAUGUACUGUUUAUUUUUGUUUUGCAUCUUAACCACUUUUUUAACUUUUAAAUUGCAAUUCAUUGCCUCCCAGAUGGCUUCACAUCGUCCUGCCAAAAUAUAUUAAUAUUUUUACUUUUUUUCUUACUCCAAAUAACAUGUGUGAUCAGAAAAUACCAAGGCUCAUUUCUGUAAGUUUUAGCCUUGUGUCACAAAAGUUCUAUUUGUAAUUUAAAAAAAAAUGACACCAGUAGUAAAAUAAAUAUUCUUUGUUUUAUAAAUAUACAUUUUCACCAAAAAUCCAGCCUGCAGUUUUUUCUGAGGGUAGAAUCAAAGGUCCACUUCCAGUUAUACUUUUUUCUUUUUCAAAAUUAAAUUUUAAUACAGUUGAUUAGCUGAUGUAAACAUAACUCAAGAAUUACUUUGAGUUUGUAUCUGUACAUACAUUACCUUUAAUGUGACAAGUGUAUCUAUAGUUGGCAGUAUCAGUAUCAUGUAGUGGCCACUGACUGUGUACGAGGUUUCUUUGACAACAGUAGAGAAGCUGGAAGCUUUAAUCAGUUCAUACAUCAGGAAAUGGUUGGGAGUUCCAUGCUGCCUCAGCAGAGUGGGACUUUAUGGUAAAGGAAUACUGCAGCUACCAGUCGCCACUCUAACCGAGGAGUUUAAGUGCACCAAGAUCUGACUGGAAAUGACAUUAGUAGAGUCACGUGACAAAUGUGUAAGGGAGGCAGCACCUGUGUUGAAAACUGGAAGAAAGUGGGUGGC